AGGUUCGAUUCUGGCUCAGGAUGAACGCUGGCGGCGUGCUUAACACAUGCAAGUCGAACGGAGUUUUUAACGGAAGUUUUCGGAUGGAAGUUUAGAAACUUAGUGGCGGACGGGUGAGUAACGCGUGGGUAACCUGCCUCAUACAGGGGGAUAACAGUUAGAAAUGACUGCUAACACCGCAUAAUAUAGCGAAACCGCAUGAUUUUUGCUAUCAAAUAUUUAUAGGUAUGAGAUGGGCCCGCGUCUGAUUAGCUAGUUGGUGGGGUAAAAGCCUACCAAGGCGACGAUCAGUAGCCGGCUUGAGAGAGUGACCGGCCACAUUGGGACUGAGACACGGCCCAAACUCCUACGGGAGGCAGCAGUGGGGAAUAUUGGACAAUGGGGGAAACCCUGAUCCAGCCGACGCCGCGUGAGUGAAGAAGUAUUUCGGUAUGUAAAGCUCUAUCAGCAGGGAAGAUAAUGACAGUACCUGACUAAGGAGCCCCGGCUAACUACGUGCCAGCCGCCGC
rnacentral:rRNA from 1 species